rnacentral:lncRNA from 1 species
ACUUUUUCUUUCCGCCAUCUUGGCGCCUUUGGAGGCCUGCUGGGAACAGGACUUCUAAAAAACAAGUAUGUCUGGAAGGCUGUGGUGCAAGGCCAUUUUUGCUGGCUACAAGCGAGGCCUCAGGAACCAAAGAGAGCACACGGCUCUUCUUAAAAUUGAAGGUGUUUAUGCCCGAGAUGAAACUGAGUUCUACUUAGGCAAGCGGUGUGCUUAUGUGUACAAAGCAAAAAACAAUACAGUGACUCCUGGAGGCAAACCAAACAAAACCAGAGUGAUCUGGGGAAAAGAAACUCGGG